rnacentral:rRNA from 1 species
UACGUAGGCAGCAAGCGUUGUUCGGAAUUACUGGGCGUAAAGGGCUCGUAGGCGGCCAACUAAGUCAAACGUGAAAUCCCUCGGCUUAACCGGGGAACUGCGUCUGAUACUGGAUGGCUUGAGUUUGGGAGAGGGAUGCGGAAUUCCAGGUGUAGCGGUGAAAUGCGUAGAUAUCAGGAGGAACACCUGCGGUGUAGACGGCUUACUGGACCAUAACUGACGCUGAGGCACGAAAGCGUGGGUAGCAAACAGG